GACGAACGCUGGCGGCGUGCUUAACACAUGCAAGUCGAACGGAAAGGCCUGCUUUCCCUUGUGGUUUGCGGGUACUCGAGUGGCGAACGGGUGAGUAACACGUGAGUGAUCUGCCCCCAACUUGGUUAUAAGCCUGGGAAACUGGGUCUAAUUCCCGAUAGGACUGCAGGGUGGUGCCUGUGGUGGAAAACGAUUUUCUAGUGGUUGGUGAUGAGCUCGAGGCCUAUCAGGUUGUUGGUGGGGUAAUGGCCUACCAAGGCGGAGACUGGUAGCCGGCCUGGGAGGGUGGACGGCCGAACUGAGACUGAGUUACGGCCCCGACGGCUAGGGGAGGCAGCAGUGGGGAAGAUAGCGGAAGGGGCGGAAGGCUGAUGCAGCGACGCCGCGUGGGGGAUGACGGGCUUCGGGUUGUAAACUCCUUGCGAACGAGAGGAAGCUACGUGGUUGGAAGGGUGGUGACGGUAGUGGUAGAAGAAGCACCGGCUAACUACGUG
rnacentral:rRNA from 1 species